rfam:Amphimedon queenslandica AMPQTscaffold_13464_Cont2028, whole genome shotgun sequence.
CAACCGGCUCUUUUUAGAGCCACUAUUCUCAGCAUCAUCAUUCAU